GUUCUUAAAGAUGAUCCAGUCGUGGUGAUGGUAGGCCAUCUGCUCCACAGCGAUGCCCACGAUUCGCCCAGCGAUGGCCCCCACAGCCAUACUGGGGAUAAACAGCCCAGACGGGAUCUGAACACAACACAGAGGACAUAAAACCACACUGUUGAGAGGUGAUCUGAACACAACACAGAGGACAUAAAACCACACUGUUGAGAGGUGAUCUGAACACAAAACAGAGGACAUAAAACCACACUGUUGAGAAGUGAUCUGAACACAACACAGAGGACAUAAAACCACACUGUUGAGAGGUGAUCUGAACACAAAACAGAGGACAUAAAACCACACUGUUGAGAGGUGAUCUGAACACAAAACAGAGGACAUAAAACAACACGGUUGAGGUGAUCUGAACACAACACAGAGGACAUAAAACCACACUGUUGAGAGGUGAUCUGAACACAACACAGAGGACAUAAAACCACACUGUUGAGAGGUGAUCUGAACACAACACAGAGGACAUAAAACCACACUGUUGAGAGGUGAUCUGAACACAACACAGAGGACAUAAAACCACACUGUUGAGAGGUGAUCUGAACACAACACAGAGGACAUAAAACCACACUGUUGAGAGGUGAUCUGAACACAACACAGAGGACAUAAAACCACACUGUUGAGAGGUGAUCUGAACACAACACAGAGGACAUAAAACCACACUGUUGAGAGGUGAUCUGAACACAACACAGAGGACAUAAAACCACACUGUUGAGAGGUGAUCUGAACACAACACAGAGGACAUAAAACCACACUGUUGAGAGGUGAUCUGAAGACAACACAGAGGACAUAAAACCACACUGUUGAGAGGUGAUCUGAACACAACACAGAGGACAUAAAACAACAUGGUUGAGAGGUGAUCUGAACACAACACAGAGGACAUAAAACAACAUGGUUGAGAGGUGAUCUGAACACAACACAGAGGACAUAAAACCACACUGUUGAGAGGUGAUCUGAAGACAACACAGAGGACAUAAAACAACACAGUUGAGAGGUGAUCUGAACACAACAAUCACACAAAGAGCACGGUUAUCCUACUCAAAACUUGGUAACACUUUAUUUGAAGGGUACCUACAUAAAAGGACCUUUUCAUAUUUCAUAACCCAUACAUAACGCAUUCAUAAGCAGCUCAGUAACACUUCAUAACUGCUUACGUCAGCUAUCAUAACCGCAUCUAGCCAUGCGGUACA